rnacentral:tRNA from 1 species
GCGGGUGUAGCUCAAUGGCAGAGCUCCAGCCUUCCAAGCUGGCGGUGCGGGUUCGAUUCCCGUCACCCGCUCUA